UACAGAGGCCCCAAGCGUUGCGCGGAAUCACUGGGCUUAAAGGGUGCGUAGGCGGACCCGCAAGUGCUUUGUGAAAUCCCACGGCUCAACCGUGGAAUAGCUUGGCAUACUGCGGGUCUUGAGGUCGGCAGAGGCUGCUGGAACUCUAGGUGUAGCGGUGAAAUGCGUAGAUAUCUAGAGGAACGCCCAAGGCGAAGGCAGGCAGCUGGGCCGAUUCUGACGCUGAGGCACGAAAGCGUGGGUAGCGAACGGG
rnacentral:misc_RNA from 1 species